UACGAAGGGGGCUAGCGUUGCUCGGAAUCACUGGGCGUAAAGCGCACGUAGGCGGAUUGCUAAGUCAGGGGUGAAAUCCUGGAGCUCAACUCCAGAACUGCCUUUGAUACUGGCGACCUUGAGUCCGGGAGAGGUGAGUGGAACUGCGAGUGUAGAGGUGAAAUUCGUAGAUAUUCGCAAGAACACCAGUGGCGAAGGCGGCUCACUGGCCCGGUACUGACGCUGAGAAGCGAAAGCAUGGGGAGCGAACAGG
rnacentral:rRNA from 1 species